GACAGAGGGGGCAAGCGUUGUCCGGAAUCACUGGGCGUAAAGCGCACGCAGGCGGCACGGCAAGUGGUGUGUGACAGCGGACGGCUCAACCGUCCGACGCCAUGCCAGACUGCCGCGCUCGAGCCGUGCAGAGGUCAGCGGAAUUGCCGGUGUAGGAGUGACAUCCGUAGAGACCGGCAGGAACACCGAAGGGGAAGCCAGCUGACUGGGCACGUGCUGACGCUCAGGUGCGACAGCGUGGGGAGCAAAC
rnacentral:rRNA from 1 species